CAGAGCUUUGUCACGGGCGUCCGGGGUUGGACCCCUUCCUCCCAACCCAAGCCCUGCCAAUAUUUGCCCUUUUGGCAUUUCUGCGUUAUCUGCCUAGCAGCACUAAUGAUCUCGAAAAGGGACAUGGAUCCGUUAGGAAGCAGUGGUUUCAAACUCCGAUCAAUACCAUGAUAACUUUCGCGUUCCUCCCCUUUUUCUCCCCAGCCUUUUUUCACGUUCAAUGCUGGUGUCAGCCAGAUGGUUCACCAUUACCCAAGCUCGAGCCGCCUUCUUCUCUGAGCUGCAGGCAAAACCCGGACAAGUGGAAUAUGAAGCUUGCUGCAAGCCCUUAGGGUGGCGUUCGCGGCCGAACUGGGCAUGCUCAGCACGAAGGGCUAGUCUAAGUAGCGAGUAAGAAGCUUUGGGAUUACUCUGGCAGCGGAGAGAGCGCGCAGCGGGUCUGGCUGGGGAGAGUUAGGCUCGCUGGGAAGGUCCUUUUCUCGUCCCGCCUCUCUCAAGCAUCGGUGCGGGAGGCAGCUGGCUUUCCCGGCCGGGGACACUCGGGAGGCGCUGCCUCGGGUCGGGGAGUGGCGGGGCUUCUGCUAGUUCACCUCAAACCCAAGUCCAUUUCUUCGGUCCUUGACCAAGGAGGAGAGCUUGCUGAGCUCCAAGAAAAGCUUUUGUGCACCGCUCGCUGCUGGCUCUGAGCAAGGAAAAAACAGCCUACCAAGCCUCCCAGUACCGUUUACACUUGUAUUCUUAAUGCUUUUGCAAUUUUUUGAAAUCUUUGGGUUUGGAGUCCAAGAGCCUUGAUUCAAAAUCCCAGCUCUGCUACUAACUACCUGUAUCACCUUGGUCAUUAGGGGGUAUACUCAUAAAGAGGGAGGUUUUUUCAAAGAAGAAGAGACCAGAAUAGGAUGGAACAAAUAACAACAACCACCACAAGUAUUACUAC